AUUAGCUUGUUGGUGGGGUAACGGCCUACCAAGGCGAUGAUGCAUAGCCGAGUUGAGAGACUGAUCGGCCACAAUGGGACUGAGACACGGCCCAUACUCCUACGGGAGGCAGCAGUAGGGAAUCUUCCACAAUGGGCGCAAGCCUGAUGGAGCAACACCGCGUGAGUGAAGAAGGGUUUCGGCUCGUAAAGCUCUGUUGUUAAAGAAGAACACGUAUGAGAGUAACUGUUCAUGCGUUGACGGUAUUUAACCAGAAAGUCACGGCUAACUACGUGCCAGCAGCCGCGGUAAUACGUAGGUGGCAAGCGUUAUCCGGAUUUAUUGGGCGUAAAGAGAGUGCAGGCGGUUUUCUAAGUCUGAUGUGAAAGCCUUCGGCUUAACCGGAGAAGUGCAUCGGAAACUGGAUAACUUGAGUGCAGAAGAGGGUAGUGGAACUCCAUGUGUAGCGGUGGAAUGCGUAGAUAUAUGGAAGAACACCAGUGGCGAAGGCGGCUACCUGG
rnacentral:rRNA from 1 species